ensembl:piRNA 21ur-3712 ncRNA
UACGCUAGUUCCAAUAUAAAC